GGGUGGAGAACCAGAAGCCUUGUCAACAUCACUACUGGAGAUCUUCAAUAAAUGGUUCGGAGAGCUCCCAGACCGCAAAGCAUCAGAGCCCAGCUACUGCCAGACCAGCUAAGGGCAAGGCUGCAGUGCAGAGCACCUCUGGAGGAAAGGCCACAGUGGGGGAGAGCUCUGGGUCUGACAGCUCAGAGGUCUCUGAAGACUCAGAGAGUGAGGAGACACCACCACAGAAAAUCCCUGUGACACCCAAAGCCAAUCAUGUUCCAGCUGCAAAGGUCAAGGCUGGGUCAGCGGUCACACCAUUGACCCUGAACAAGAAACCAGCAGAGAGCUCAGACAGUGACAGCAGCUCAGGGAGAGAAGAUGAGAGCUGGAGUCUUCUUCCACAGACAACAGCUGCCACAACUAAAGCUACACCAGUGAAGCAUCCAAAACCAAGUUCAACAGCCAAGACAAAAGCCACUCCUACUACCCCAGCUAAACCAGUGGUUGCUGCUACGCCAAGAAAGGCACCAGCUACUGCCCCAGCCACACCAAAAGGAAAGAAGGUGACCACAAAAGACAAGACAGCAACAAAGAAAG